CAGUGCCUGGUGGGUAGUUUAACUGGGGCGGUUGCCUCCCAAAAAGUAACGGAGGUGCCCAAAGGUUCCCUCAACCUGGUUGGCAAUCAGGUGGCGAGUGUAAGUGCACAAGGGAGCUUGACUGUGAGACUGACAGGUCGAGCAGGGACGAAAGUCGGGACUAGUGAUCCGGCAGUGGCUUGUGGAAGCGCUGUCGCUCAACGGAUAAAAGGUACCUCGGGGAUAACAGGCU
rnacentral:rRNA from 1 species